GGGAACAAAGAAAGAUGAGAUUGAAGGUGAAGUGGAAGUGUCUGGUUUAAUUCAGCCUGCAGAAGUGUUUGCUCCCAAAAGCCUGGUGUUGGUAUCCAGAUUAGAUUAUCCAGAAAUUUUUAGGGCUUGCCUGGGUUUGAUCUAUACUGUAUAUGUGGACAGUCUGAAUGUCUCCUUGGAAAGUCUUAUUGCAAACCUGUGUGCGUGUCUUGUCCCAGCGGCUGGAGGGUCUCAGAAGCUGUUUUCCUUGGGUGCAGGAGAUAGACAGCUGAUCCAGACUCCCCUGCAUGAUAGUCUUCCUGUCACAGGCACUAGUGCGGCUCUCCUGUUCCAGCAAUUGGGUAUGUCUUCUUCUCCCAUUUUCAGUGUUCUUAUAAAAGCCUAUGAAAAAAAGAUUUAUUUUAAGCCUACAUC